rnacentral:snRNA from 1 species
GCGCUGGCUUAGGCAGCACAUAUAUUAAAAUUGGAGCAAUACAGAGAAGAUUAGCAUGGCCCCUGUGCAAGGAUGACACGCAAAUUCGUGAAGCAUUCCAUAUUUUU